ACUCUUUCCCCUGUUGCACUACUGUCCAACGUCACAGCUAGCAGUGCAAUAAUGAAAGGGCGU
rnacentral:pre_miRNA from 1 species